GAUGAAGAACGUAGCGAAAUGCGAUAAGUAAUGUGAAUUGCAGAAUUCAGUGAAUCAUCGAAUCUUUGAACGCACAUUGCGCCCGCCUGUAUUCUGGCGGGCAUGCCUGUCCGAGCGUCAUUUCAACCCUCGAACCCCUCCGGGGGGUCGGCGUUGGGGACCUCGGGAGCCCCUAAGACGGGAUCCCGGCCCCGAAAUACAGUGGCGGUCUCGCCGCAGCCUCUCCUGCGCAGUAGUUUGCACAACUCGCACCGGGAGCGCGGCGCGUCCACGUCCGUAAAACACCCAACUUCUGAAAUGUUGACCUCGGAUCAGGUAGGAAUACCCGCUGAACUUAAGCAUAUCAAUAAGCGGAGGA
rnacentral:misc_RNA from 1 species